CAGGGUGAGGGCUGACCCAAGUGUCCCGCUCGCGCCCGAAGCUGGCGCUGAGACUGCCCUGCGCCCAGCCCCGGGAGCGACGGCCGCCUGGGCCUGGGGGCAGCGGCCAAACCGGCCCAACCAGCCCCAGAGAGGCCGCCGCCCCCGGACGCACGUUUGCGGUGCUGCCCCCCAUCCCCUAGCGUUUCCCCCUCCUCCAGGAAGCCUGUCUCGGCCACCACUCGCCCCAACCAACGCUGCCGUCUUUUCUGGCCACCCCGAAACCGCAGGUGCAGGCAGGGCACGACCUCAGUAACGUCCCCUCAGGCGGAAGCAUGCGGAGAACAGGUGGCCUGAGACUACUACCACAUUCCAGACUUUGCACCCUCUGGCCUCAGUUUCUCACCUAACCCUGAGGGCAAACAAUCCACCGGGGCCCAGAAAACAACACAAACAGAACCUUGUUCUUCACCAACUGAGGGACGUCGGGCAUGAACCAGGCGGCAAUGAGCUUGCUGCACAAGGCCACGUGCUGGGAGCAGGGGCAGGAGGAGCCGGCAAGCAAGGGUCAGGAGCUGCCUGGCCCCAGCGCCCGCCCUCCUCAGGGUCCCCCAUCCCGUGGGGGCCUGACCGAUGUCCUUGGCCUUGCGGGGCACCAGCCGCCGCUGCAGCCGCACCAUCUUGAUGGCGUCUAGGCGGAUCUCCACGAGGUUGCUGAACAGCGCCAGCAGCGGGGCCAGCGGGAAGGCGGCCACGAAGAUGGUGGUGAAGCCGUACUGGAUCACUGCGGG